AUUGAACGCUGGCGGCAUGCCUUACACAUGCAAGUCGAACGGUAACAGGUCUUCGGAUGCUGACGAGUGGCGAACGGGUGAGUAAUACAUCGGAACGUGCCCGAUCGUGGGGGAUAACGGAGCGAAAGCUUUGCUAAUACCGCAUACGAUCUACGGAUGAAAGCAGGGGACCGCAAGGCCUUGCGCGGACGGAGCGGCCGAUGGCAGAUUAGGUAGUUGGUGGGAUAAAAGCUUACCAAGCCGACGAACUGUAGCUGGUCUGAGAGGACGACCAGACACACUGGGACUGAGACACGGCCCAGACUCCUACGGGAGGCAGGAGUGGGGAAUUUUGGACAAUGGGCGAAAGCCUGAUCCAGCCAUGCCGCGUGCAGGAUGAAGGCCUUCGGGUUGUAAACUGCUUUUGUACGGAACGAAAAGCCUCUUUCUAAUAAAGAGAGGUCAUGACGGUACCGUAAGAAUAAGCACCGGCUAACUACGUGCCAGCCGCCGCAGUAACAC
rnacentral:rRNA from 1 species